GUCUGGGUGGCUCAGUCGGUUGAGCGUCCGACUUCAGCUCAGGUCACGAUCUCAUGGUUCGUGAGUUCGAACCCCGCAUCAGGCU
rnacentral:tRNA from 1 species